UUCACCUAAGAGCGAAGAACAAAAGUGGCAACCGUAGAUCCGCCGCUACACGGCGGCUCAAGAUGUAUAAUUGUAGGCUAAAGCGUGAUCGGAAGGGCAAAAUGUUGAAGCACGAGUAUCAAUCAAAGCAACUUCCUUCAAAGAGGAUACAACCAAAUCUCGAUGGUUUAUUAAUACUCGGUUGAUUAGUCAGGAGAAAUUGGAAUCCUUUAGAGAAGACAUCCAGAAUCGGCUUUCUAGCAACUACAAUAUCAUAAUAAAUGGAAGUAAUUUGCCCAUGUCCCUUGUAAAUGAGCAAAAGAAGAAAGUGUGGCGGUAUUUAGAGGCGAUUCAGAAAUGAAUAACUCAUGUGCGGUAGAUUCAGAGAACUGGUGAUUGGCUUUGAGAUUGUAGUUUGAGUUAUCAUCGUUGAUUUAGAGUAGUUCGGAGCAACUUGGAGCUUUGGAGAUUAGGGUGAGUUGUCGACAUCCGGAGCUUACAGAUUUUCGUCUGUUUGGCUAGACUUAUUCUUUAUAUUGUAUUGAAAGACAACUUGUACUUAUGUUGUAUUUGUCGAAGCCCUGUACACUUCUUUUGGGUUAAAUGCUCAAUACCGACUGAUGAGCCAUGUUUUGAGACGGUUAGUGUAUGAUUAGUUGAUUACCUUCUCUUGUUGUAAGCUUUAUGCACUUGUUGUUGACUUUCGCUUGGUGGUCUGUUGCUUAUAGUUUUGGGCUAAGGGCUAGGCUAUCUGCUAGU